AGCACACGCUAGGGGUCCUGCGGGCGCGUUUGCGCUGCGUGGGUGAGAAAUACCCUCUGAACCUGAUCUGGAUAAUGCCAGCGAAGGGAAGCUUCCGAGAUGCCGG
rnacentral:ncRNA from 1 species